rfam:Schistosoma mattheei strain Denwood, Zambia genome assembly, scaffold: SMTD_scaffold0010646
GCACUGCUGAGGAGUCCCAUACUAGGACGAAAUGGUCGUCCAGUAC